rnacentral:misc_RNA from 1 species
GGCCUUGGCAUGCCACAUCUUAAGGCGGGAAGAAGUAAUGACACUGUGGUGGAGAUCUUCAGAUUUUGACCUCUUAUUUGAAGGGUUUUUGUCGCGGAAGAGUCCUAACAAGCAGGAUCUUCAAGGUCUGAUGCCUUCUAUAUGGUGGUCUGGUUCGUGUGAGGAUGUGUCAAAUGAGGCUAGCCUGUUACUGACUACAGGUGCUUUGUCAGAAAUAAUUAACAAGGUUGAAGAGAAGCAGAGGGACCUCUGCCGCUUGGUUAUGC